GAAAACCACUUCUGGAGGACAGCGGCUGUGUCCGCGUGUAGGAGUGUUUUGGUUCCCCACUCCCAGUUCUCUACCCCACCCCUGCAGCUGGUCCCCGGCUCCUUUGCUAGACCAGCCAGUGGGACUGCCCGGGAAUUCAGGGACUUGAGAGGGGCAAGCCGCUGUUCCUCCUCCCCAGGGGCCAUCCCCCCUCACGCACACUCCCCUACCACACACACCCAGCACUCGGCUGCUCCACGCGCAGAUCCCUGCCCUUCUCCCGCUACGGGCCGAGCUGCCAGCCCCUUCCCUUGCUCUCGCACCCCCGCCCGCCGCCGAGGGUCCAGAUGGCGGCUCCUCGCGCUCGGCUCGCGGCCCCCAGACACCGCCCGGCAGCAGCCGGCGGUCGCUCCCUCCCUGCCAGCUGCUGCAGCGGAGACCCGGCCGCUCUGCGAGGAGGACGGGCUCCUCCGCAGGCUCGGAUUGGGGCGGAAGCUGGGCCGCCCAGGGGCAAGCAGGAGGCGUGAUCUCAGGGAAGGAGCCCUGCAGGCCCCAGGUGCCUCCCUGUAUGCCCAAAAAAGCAGCUCUGAGAAUGGCGGCUCGCGGGGGUUGAGGUCAUUCUCUCCAGGCCCGGCGACUCUGAUUUGGGGAUACAGAUACACAAGGAAAACCAAAGCUAUUCAGUCUCCUCAUUUGUCCAGCAGCCUAACAGUGGUGCCCUUUCUCUGCUGCUGCUUUCCCUGCUUCGGGAGCAGCAGUUAUGGUAGAAGCAGAUGGCUACUGAUUGGGGGAGCUUUGUGGCUCUAAGACUGAAUACUUUAUGGAAAAGAACUUUAUCAUGCUUCGUUGGGCAGAGGAACAAGGGGAUGAGAUUUAUGGCCAGGAAAAAUAAAUCUUGUCCAAGUUGCA
rnacentral:lncRNA from 1 species